CUGGCGGCAAAACGCCGUGCGCGCGUCACUGGCAGAUAUUUUUUCGAUUUACUCGAAUUGCAUACUGUUCCAACACUUACUCCGCAUAGUUUCUUCUUCGGAAAUGUCUACAGAAUUCGAUUCGUGUUCAGCCAAUGGCUAUUGGAAAACAGAAGAUAAGUUUAAAUUUGUUUAACGUACCAGAACAAUUUCUCCAAGGACACUUUUUUCUUCGGCUGGCACGAACAACCUGUACGUUGCUUCAACGAUGUAGCAAAGAAUUUUUAGAAGAAGAAGCAACACAUCCGCCACGAUCAACACACCCCCGUACGCCUUUACCAUGAUUUCCUGAAACGUUGCUCUGUAACGCGAAAUGUUACUCAUGAACAUUUUUCAUGAUUUUUCAUAAUGUGGAUAAAUCUUAAUUGUCGGUGUCAGUAAAAUAAUGAAAAUCGAUUGAUAUGUUUAGAAUGAUCAUUGUAGUAGCAACAUUAUGCGUUGUUGCAUAAUGUAAUAGCAUAUCGACGAUUUAAAACCGGUCAGUUUAUAAUCUUUCUUGUCGAACGACUGUUUGUUCGUUGCAUUGAAAAUUGGAUGAGAUGACUCACAAGAAAAAGUGGUUAUAUAAAAUCUGCACCAAGCCCAGCGUUUGACCUUUCAAUUUCACCGUUUACGAAAUUUUGCACGUUUAAUCGGGGACAAACGAAAAAAUUGUGAAAUAGACGGUAGAGAAAAUUGAACGUUUAUAGCUUUGCCAAUUAGAUUUCACUUUUAUCGCAGUCGUUGAAGCGUUAAUUAUCUCUAUCUAUGAUUAUAAUUGAUGUAAUUGAAAGUUGAAACUGAUGUAUUUCAAUGCAAUAUUUUUUUUCAUAAUUACCGCUUACUUAUUCUGUUAGAAGAAGCAAAGAGCAUAUGUUCAAUUUAAAAUACUGAAGAAUUUUAUCAGAAUGCCUUCGACCUCGACGAUACGUGUUUGAAAAAAAAAAAGAAAAAAAAAACCAGGAAAUGAAAAAUUGUAAAUAUUUUUAUUCUCGUGAUCUUCAAG